GGUGGGGGGAGGGGUCCCCUCAGCUUGGAUUGUGAGAGGGCACAGGCCAGGCCAAGGGACCCCACUGGUGCAUG
rfam:Myotis lucifugus cont2.4348, whole genome shotgun sequence.